UCCACGAAAGCUAAAAGUGUUAAGAUAAGGUUGAAUUUUGAUGUAGAAGGCUCAGAGGAAAGUGAGAAACUAAUGUAUGCAGGAUUUGCUCCAGCACAGCAAGGAAGUUUCAGAGGACGGAAGGAUAAAAGUAGAGAUAUGUGUUUUUAUUGUGGCUCAGUUUUCCAGCAGCCGCAGACACCCAGAGCAAAAAUGAAUUUGUGUAUUUCAUUUAACAUAAAGGGUGAAAUGUUUGCUGACACUGAUAACAGCUUAUGUUUUCUUUGCCCUAUGUAUCGACAUGAUGGAGAAGGAACAUCCUCUGUGUCAGCUGGACGCCUCAGCAGAGAAUGAACUCAACAUCCUUUUUGUCCGGUACUUUAUGUCACACACUGUGCCAAAAAAAAAACGUGUACAGACGCCACUACCAGGUAAUCCCAUGACUGGGAGCCACACUUUUGUUUCUCUCACACUGUUCAACAACAUGAUAACUGCUCACA
rnacentral:sRNA from 1 species